rfam:Moniliophthora roreri MCA 2997 sctg_0123_0002, whole genome shotgun sequence.
GGGCACAUAGCGUAGGGGUUAUCGCGUUCGCUUCGCAUUCCAUAUUGACGAGUGCGAAAGGUCCCCGGUUCAAUUCCGGGUGUGUCCA